UACCGGAAACCCUAAUUAUGAAAGUCAUAUUAAAGGCAUAUUAUUGUUAUUAAUUGUUAGGGAUCAUCCCGUGUAGCUACAUUUUGGUAAGUUACCUCUCGUUGUAGUGUAACUUCCAAGUUGAGGAGAGUCAGAUGUAGUGAAACCAGAUUUAUUAGUCGUUUGUACCUUCCUGUAUAUUAAACUGUAAUUAUCUGUUGAUAUACCGCACGGUAUAUAUAGCUUGUCUCAACUGUUGUCAGAGUAACCACGUGGAUUGUCGGUGUUUUUGUCCACUGUAUGCUACAUUUGUACUGGUCAUGUUUGCAACUAAGGAAAACCAAGGGUCACCUGUUAGUGCAUGAAACUAGUGACUAAGAGUCGUGUUUUCAUCAAACCCAGCCCAUCUGAAAAUGCCCAGGCGUCCUAAAUUAGGAAUACGGAGAGAUUGGCAAAGAUGUAUCUAUCAAGCUGGAGGUUUUGAAAAAGAAUUUCUACAAAGUGAAUUAUUGAAGUCGUGAACGAUAGAGCAAAGGGGAAGAGAAAGAACCACAUCUAAAAGAAAGAUGAUUCAACUAAAUAUAUAACGGUUAGACGUUUCCGGUCGGGGUAUGAUAACAAGCUCCUUCGAAAUUUAAUAAGCCAAUGGUGAUAAGAAUAUUGAGGUGUGACGUCUUGUUAUACAUUGUAUUAAUUGAAGAAAUACUAAGAACAACCAGUGUCCAGAAGAAUAUAUCAGUGUCUCUCAGAAUGUUACAGUCUUCUCAUGAUAAAUGAAUGAUUAAAUUGACAUACAUACAAAGUGAAUCUGAUACGAAAGAAGUUAAACUUAAGGGUCAUCGUCGCAAGAAGAUUGAGGUGUGAAGUCUUUUUAAACAUUGUAUUAAAUGAAGAAAUACUAAGAACAACCAGUAUCCAGAGGAAUAUAUGAGUAUCUGUGUACCAGAUAUUGAAAAUUUCGCACCAUAACUGACAUUUAAAAUAAUUGAAAUUAUGUAUGUUACUUAAAACUGACAAUAUUUUAAGUAACAAGCAUAAAUUAUUAUUUCUGUUAAAUUUCUAUUAAAAAUUAUAUUUUAUUGGGUAUAUUAUAGGUAUAUAAUUUGUUGUCAAAAA